UUCUCUUUAGUUUAAUGGUAGAACAAUGAUCUUCUAAUUCAUUGGUUUUAGUUCGAUUCUAAAAAGAGAUG
rnacentral:tRNA from 4 species